rnacentral:rRNA from 1 species
UUGAACGCUGGCGGCAGGCCUAACACAUGCAAGUCGAGCGGUAGCACAGAGAGCUUGCUCUCGGGUGACGAGCGGCGGACGGGUGAGUAAUGUCUGGGAAACUGCCUGAUGGAGGGGGAUAACUACUGGAAACGGUAGCUAAUACCGCAUAAUGUCGCAAGACCAAAGUGGGGGACCUUCGGGCCUCAUGCCAUCAGAUGUGCCCAGAUGGGAUUAGCUAGUAGGUGGGGUAACGGCUCACCUAGGCGACGAUCCCUAGCUGGUCUGAGAGGAUGACCAGCCACACUGGAACUGAGACACGGUCCAGACUCCUACGGGAGGCAGCAGUGGGGAAUAUUGCACAAUGGGCGCAAGCCUGAUGCAGCCAUGCCGCGUGUGUGAAGAAGGCCUUCGGGUUGUAAAGCACUUUCAGCGGGGAGGAAGGCGUUAAGGUUAAUAACCUUGGCGAUUGACGUUACCCGCAGAAGAAGCACCGGCUAACUCCGUGCCAGCAGCCGCGGUAAUACGGAGGGUGCAAGCGUUAAUCGGAAUUACUGGGCGUAAAGCGCACGCAGGCGGUCUGUCAAGUCGGAUGUGAAAUCCCCGGGCUCAACCUGGGAACUGCAUUCGAAACUGGCAGGCUAGAGUCUUGUAGAGGGGGGUAGAAUUCCAGGUGUAGCGGUGAAAUGCGUAGAGAUCUGGAGGAAUACCGGUGGCGAAGGCGGCCCCCUGGACAAAGACUGACGCUCAGGUGCGAAAGCGUGGGGAGCAAACAGGAUUAGAUACCCUGGUAGUCCACGCAGUAAACGAUGAUUACUAGGAGUUUGCGAUACAAUGUAAGCUCUACAGCGAAAGCGUUAAGUAAUCCACCUGGGGAGUACGCCGGCAACGGUGAAACUCAAAGGAAUUGACGGGGGCCCGCACAAGCGGUGGAGCAUGUGGUUUAAUUCGAUGCAACGCGAAGAACCUUACCUGGUCUUGACAUCCACAGAACUUUCCAGAGAUGGAUUGGUGCCUUCGGGAACUGUGAGACAGGUGCUGCAUGGCUGUCGUCAGCUCGUGUUGUGAAAUGUUGGGUUAAGUCCCGCAACGAGCGCAACCCUUAUCCUUUGUUGCCAGCGGUUAGGCCGGGAACUCAAAGGAGACUGCCAGUGAUAAACUGGAGGAAGGUGGGGAUGACGUCAAGUCAUCAUGGCCCUUACGACCAGGGCUACACACGUGCUACAAUGGCAUAUACAAAGAGAAGCGACCUCGCGAGAGCAAGCGGACCUCAUAAAGUAUGUCGUAGUCCGGAUUGGAGUCUGCAACUCGACUCCAUGAAGUCGGAAUCGCUAGUAAUCGUAGAUCAGAAUGCUACGGUGAAUACGUUCCCGGGCCUUGUACACACCGCCCGUCACACCAUGGGAGUGGGUUGCAAAAGAAGUAGGUAGCUUAACCUUCGGGAGGGCGCUUACCACUUUGUGAUUCAUGACUGGGGUG